rnacentral:misc_RNA from 1 species
GAAAACUUGGAAUAAGAAAUAGAGUGAGAGAGAGAGGAUAUACCGUCGAGUUGGCCGAAGGAGUGAGAGAGGCAGUCUGGUCAUCCGAAGGAGUGAGAGAGGGAGGCAAAGUAUAAUGAUAUCCUGAUAGUAAAUGAGAAACUUUUCUCUGCCUUUUACUCGAAGGAUUUUGAGCAUUAUCAUUUGAAUUUUCUGAUAUGUGACUAGCUGAAGAUGGUAUUGCUGUGGACAUAGAUGGCAUAUGAGAGUCUGAUUCAGCAUGUGAAAUGGACGUUGAUUCACUUAGAGCAACAGAUUGAGUAUUACUUAAUUCAACUCCUUCCAAUGGUUGACAAGCCCUGGUUAUGUCAUCUGCGUUGGAUACAC